rnacentral:rRNA from 1 species
ACGGCGAGUGAAGCGGUAACAGCUCAAAUUUGAAAUCUGGCCUCACGGUCCGAGUUGUAAUUUGUAGAGGAUGCUUCGAGCAUGGUCUGGCCUAAGUUCCUUGGAACAGGACGUCAUAGAGGGUGAGAAUCCCGUAUGCGGCCAGGUGCCUACGCUCAUGUGAAGCUCCUUCGACGAGUCGAGUUGUUUGGGAAUGCAGCUCAAAAUGGGUGGUAAAUUUCAUCUAAAGCUAAAUAUUGGCCAGAGACCGAUAGCGCACAAGUAGAGUGAUCGAAAGAUGAAAAGCACUUUGGAAAGAGAGUUAAACAGUACGUGAAAUUGUUGAAAGGGAAGCGCUUGCAACCAGACUUGCGCGCGGCCGAUCAUCCGGUGUUCUCACCGGUGCACUCGGCCGUGCUCAGGCCAGCAUCGGUUUUGGCGGCUGGAUAAAGGCCCUAGGAAUGUAGCUCCUCUCGGGGAGUGUUAUAGCCUAGGGUGCAAUGCAGCCUGCUGGGACCGAGGACCGCGCUUCGGCUAGGAUGCUGGCGUAAUGGUUGUAAGCGGCCCGUCUUGAAACACGGACCAAGGAGUCUAACAUCUAUGCGAGUGUUUGGGUGUCAAACCCAUACGCGUAAUGAAAGUGAACGGAGGUGAGAACCCUUAAGGGUGCAUCAUCGACCGGUCCUGAAGUUUACGGAAGGAUCUGAGUAAGAGCAUAGCUGUUGGGACCCGAAAGAUGGUGAACUAUGCCUGAAUAGGGUGAAGCCAGAGGAAACUCUGGUGGAGGCUCGCAGCGGUUCUGACGUGCAAAUCGAUCGUCAAAUUUGG